rnacentral:lncRNA from 1 species
ACCUCGUCCUGACAUGAGCAAAGUUGAAGGCCCGAUUCUUUUAGAUCGGAUGGGGGGAGAGGCCUUACAAUGCCCUAACGCGCCCCCACGGCUAUGUCAGGAACAGGAGGAGAACCUCGUCCUGACAUGAGCAAAGUCGAAGGUCCGAUUCUUUUAGAUCGGAUUGGGGGGAGAGACCCUGGCAAUGGCCCUUACGUGCCCCCGCGGCCCCAUUGGGAAUGGGAGGAGAACCUCAUCCUGAUGGUGAUGAAACCCGGCCGCCCG